GAUGAACGCUGGCGGCGUGCCUAAUACAUGCAAGUCGAGCGAACAGACGAGGAGCUUGCUCCUCUGACGUUAGCGGCGGACGGGUGAGUAACACGUGGAUAACCUACCUAUAAGACUGGGAUAACUUCGGGAAACCGGAGCUAAUACCGGAUAAUAUAUUGAACCGCAUGGUUCAAUAGUGAAAGACGGUUUUGCUGUCACUUAUCGAUGGAUCUGCGCCGCAUUAGCUAGUUGGUACGGUAACGGCUUACCAAGGCAACGAUGCGUAGCCGACCUGAGAGAGGGAUCGGCCGCACUGGAGCUGGGCCACGGACAAGACGACUACGGGAGGCAGCAGUAGGGAAUCUUCCGCAAUGGGCGAAAGCCUGACGGAGCAACGCCGCGUGAGUGAUAAAGGUCUUCGGAUCGUAAAGCUCUGUUAUUAGGGAAGAACAAAUGUGUAAGUAGCUAUGCACGUCUUGACGGUACCUAAUCAGAAAGCCACGGCUAACUACGUG
rnacentral:rRNA from 1 species